rnacentral:rRNA from 1 species
GACGAACGCUGGCGGCGUGCCUAAUACAUGCAAGUCGAACGCAGUGGGGACGGGUGAGUAACACGUGGGUAACCUCCCAUCAGAGGGGAUAAAACUUGGAAACAGGUGCUAAACCGAUACUGAUGGACGGACCCGGGGUGGAUUGGCUAGUUGGGUAGGUAACGGCUCACCAAGGCCACGCUGCCUAGCCGACCUGCGAGGGGGAUCGGCCACACGGGGACUGAGACACGGCCCAGACUCCUACGGGAGGAAGCAGUAGGGAAUCUUCGGCAAUGGACGAAAGUCUGACCGAGCAACGCCGCGUGAGUGAAGAAGGUUUUCGGAUCGUAAAACUCUGUUGUUAGAGAAGCGGUAUCUAACCAGAAAGCCACGGCUAACUACGUGCCAGCAGCCGCGGUAAUUC